rnacentral:snRNA from 1 species
GAGAGCCCCGUCGUGCCCGG